GGGGCACAGCCUCAUAAAUUAUUUACCUGUCAAUAAGACGAGAAGAAUGUUCUUUAUUUUUCAUAUUUGAAUUUAUAAAAUAUCUUGAAGAUUUUGAAUUAGAAAAUAUUGAAAGACAACAUGCAAUAAAAUAAAUAAAUUAAAGUUGUGUUUACUCACCGGUAUAUAGUAGUUGAAUAAUAAUUGUGGUUAUAAGCAGACAAUCACCUGUCAAGCGCUUAUCUUUGUACCGUUAUUAUCAAAAUUAGCCUCCCUUGCUAUUGCUUUAUUUUCUUUCGUAGAAUUAAAAUGUAUUUUUUGUAAUUAUUUUUUAUUUCCUCGCACUUCACAUCACUGUAUCACAUGGCUUGUGCCAAUGUUAUCGUAGGUCAGUGAUUCUUGUAAUCACCACGUGAAUGUGAUGUCUGAUAAGGAAGAAGCUAGCUUCAUACGGUAUGUUCUAGUGAUAAGAGGUUCGACUUUUGUUUGAAUUAAAAAAUAUCCCGGUUUCAAAUUUAUGUAAAUUGCUGAUUUUGAAUCACUACAUCUGGGAACUACUUUCUUUAUUUGCAAACGUCAUUGUGAUGAAAGCCAUUUCGAAUUAAAUCAACCUAUCAGAAGCCCGGAUUUAUUUAUUCAAGGGUGUAUGAACUCAAGUAUUUUCAAGAAUAACCACUUCCCAGAUGAUCAUCUAGCGGUAAACAACCAUGGUUGAAUGUUCCCCGUUUAACUGUUUUAAAUGUUAAAGUAAAUGUCUCAAAUAAUUGUAAAUCAGCACCAAAUACCGUCUCUUAUAUAUAUUUUUGAUUAAUUACGGAGUGAAGUGGAAUAUUAUAAAAAAAUUAAGACGUCACCGAACUUAGCCGCCGACACUCUGCCUGUGCCACAACGUGAGCGAUCCAUAUCCGAGGUCCAGUCAAUUUUCAUCCGAAGACAUCGAGUUCUGAACGACAGCAUCACCAAACAUAUCGAACAAGAUGAAUGGAGGAGGGAGAUGCCGAUGAGCAUUAUAGGAUCUAGUCGAUUUAUCGCCAGGCCAUGCAUAAGUACCAUACCAGGACCAAACAGAGACCAUCUCUAGCUAUUUUAAUUGGUAGACGAACAAUGAAAAACAAACCUGGGACGUCAUAGAUAAGGAGCUCAUGAAAUUUCAACCCCUCAUCUCAGCCCAUACAAUAAUCACACCACGGAAAAAACAAAGCACUCCAGCGGUCUAUAUCCAAUACUAAAUUAUAACGCUGGAGACUAAAGCACAAGCUUCACAUACAAUCACCGCGGAGAGCGGACUGGAAAAAAGUUGGCAUGCAAAAAGUGGUCGCUGAUCGCUGCUCGACUCUCGUCUGCUUUUUAGCACGAUUGUGUGCGCUUAACUAAAUAAUCUCUUUAAAAAAUACGGCUGAACUGCCUUUGUCCUACAGUGAUGACCGAAGGGCAUUUGUUAAAUAUUUAGCUUGAUAAAUCAUCCUUUAUGACAUCUAA